rnacentral:tRNA from 1 species
GCGCGCGUAGCUCAACUGGAUAGAGCAUCGGUCUUCGGAACCGAGGGUUGCGGGUUCGAGUCCUGCCGCGCGUG